GACGAACGCUGGCGGCGUGCCUAAUACAUGCAAGUUGAGCGCUGAAGGUUGGUACUUGUACCAACUGGAUGAGCAGCGAACGGGUGAGUAACGCGUGGGGAAUCUGCCUUUGAGCGGGGGACAACAUUUGGAAACGAAUGCUAAUACCGCAUAAAAACUUUAAACACAAGUUUUAAGUUUGAAAGAUGCAAUUGCAUCACUCAAAGAUGAUCCCGCGUUGUAUUAGCUAGUUGGUGAGGUAAAGGCUCACCAAGGCGAUGAUACAUAGCCGACCUGAGAGGGUGAUCGGCCACAUUGGGACUGAGACACGGCCCAAACUCCUACGGGAGGCAGCAGUAGGGAAUCUUCGGCAAUGGACGAAAGUCUGACCGAGCAACGCCGCGUGAGUGAAGAAGGUUUUCGGAUCGUAAAACUCUGUUGGUAGAGAAGAACGUUGGUGAGAGUGGAAAGCUCAUCAAGGGACGGUAACUACCCAGAAAGGGACGGAUAACUACGG
rnacentral:rRNA from 1 species